GAAAACAGACCCGGAAGCAGUGUUUUUCGUACCGGAAACAAAGAUGACAACAGACAGUCCAUAGAGGCUCGGAUGAGGAAGUAGCAGCUACGUGGUCGCACUUGGACAGCUUCAGAAAAACAUCGAGGAUCCAAACAGCAGCCAUGAAGCUUCGACUACACUUCGUGGUGGAUCCAAUGGGCUGGCUCUGCAUCGGCAUAGUAUUUGGGAUCUGGUUCUAUAACACUCUCUUCGUCCCCAAGCUGGUCCUGCUGCCACACUACCACGAAGGCCACAUCCCCUGGGCCUUAGUUGUUUGGUAUUACAUAGCGUCAGCUCUCUGCGUUGCUGCCCUGUUCAGAGCCUCCCUUGCAGAUCCCGGCCGUCUUCCAGUGGAUCCACAUAUUCCCCACUCUGAGAGAGAACACUGGGAGUUGUGUAAUAAAUGUAACUUAAUGAGACCUAGAAGGUCGCACCACUGCAGCCGAUGUGGCCAUUGUGUGCGCAGGAUGGACCACCACUGUCCCUGGAUUAAUAACUGUGUAGGAGAAGACAACCACUGGCUCUUCCUGCAGCUGUGUUUCUAUGCUCAGGUCCUCAGUCUCUUCACGCUCGUGCUGGACUUUUGUCAGUACUAUUAUUUCCAGCCCCUGACCAGACUGGACCAGGAGAAGUUUACCACUCGUCAUGAACUGGCUCUUCUGCGAGUCUCUGCUCUCAUGGGUGUGGUCAUGUUCGGUGGCAUGACCAGUUUGUUCUACACACAGCUGACGGGCAUCCUCACAGGAAAGGUCGUGACUUGAGGUCCACCGAUACUGGUUUCUCUAUUGUCAAAACCGACGCAGAUUUUUUGGAGACAUGAUCAGCCAGUGUGUACUGUCAAUUUUGUUUUUUGGGCUGAUUCUUACGGCCGAUAUCUAAAAGUUUUCCACCUUGUUUUCAUGCUAAAAUGUCACUUAAUAACAUUCGUUGAUGCACAACAUUUCUGAAGCUGAAUCAGUUUUUGAACACUGAAUUUAACAAAUGGUUAAAUCAUGAUUUUGAGCACUGCUCAGUGUUGAAAUCAGACGUUGUUUUUUUGACAGUCUUUUUAUUAUCAGGGUUUUUCCUGCGUUGAAAUUUGCGUGGCGGCUGCCUCCAGCUAAUUUAGUGCCGCCCCAGCCUGAUUUCACUCUGCCCCCAGCUAAAUGGAUGUUAUUUUAACUGCAGUUUCAGCGUUGCGCCAUUACACCGGCACUGUAUUAGCAGCGGUGCACUGAAAAGCGCAAAAACCGCUGCAGAAAAAGAUCAAAAAUUGCUUUUCUCGCUAGUUGGUACAUACAGGGGCGCAGAUAGGAUUUUCAAACUGGGGGGGACAAAGUUCCAAUGUACCCUCUCCCAAACACACACACACACACACACACACACACACACACACACACACACACACACACACACACACACACACACACACACACACACACACUUUUGCAAGCGCCUUAACUAGAGCUCAGUCAGUUUGUGUAAUUUCCUCCAAUGGUUUACGUAAAAACUAACUAUUAUAUACGUGUUUGAAGCCAUUAUGCAGUGGAACGCUGGCAACAAAGCUCUGCCUGAUCAACACUAUAAAUGAUAAAUGAUCCGCACUUGUAUAGCGCCUCUCAGAGUAAGGACUCCAAAGUGCUUUACACUACAGUGUAUCAUUCAUCCAUUCACACACACAUUCACACACUGAUGGGGAUGAACUACGAUGUAGCCACAGCUGCCCUGGGACGCACUGACAGAGGCGCCCCACUAUUUAAUUGAGUCAUUUGUUAUUCUUCCAAUCAAUUACUAACCAAAACCUCAUGCUUUAUGCAAAACAUUAAAUCAUUUUCAGCAUACCGAUCUUUACAGAAAACAUAAAAGCCCUAAAAACUGCACAUAAAAUAUAUUUAAAAAACAAAAUUCACUUAUCACUUAGAGCAGUGGUUCCCAUCAGCCUGACCAAGAGAUGUUGCUUCGUAUUUUUACGUUAUUUAGAAAUUUUCAUUAUAUUUGGAAAGUUUUUAUUUAUAUAUAAAUCUCUUUUUAAAUUUUAUAUUUUACUUUUUUAUGAUUAUGUGGCACACUUGACUUCCAUAAAUAACGCAUCGACAUCUGCCUCUUUUUCACAGCUUUUUUUUACAUAGUCUUACGUCUGUCACGUUUGCGGUGUUUUUACCAUCAUUUCUACAUCCAUCACAUCUCAGAGAAGGUUAAACCAACAUCAAACCCAACGUUUGGAGCUUGUAAACUCCACACACCUCUCGUGCAGCACCAGCUGUCUGAUGCUGCAGCAGCGCCAAUCUUCCCGGCUGGAUGAGUGAAUUUCUUCAUCAGAGUCAAUAUCCUGCUUCAUAAUCAGAGUCAGUCAUUACCAGACAAAGUGAUCAGUCAACAAAGACCAGAACUGCCGGCAAUUAUACGUUUUAUCUAAUAUUUGCACUCUUCAUGUUGCUCACAUCUCCUCCUCUCCCCGACUGGGAGCCUCUCAGCGGGAGGCGUUUUUCAAACUCUAAAAACUCCAAAACUUUGCUCAGCCUGAAGGUUCCACAUCUCCACUAUCUUCUGGUGUAAAGUAGUAACUUCAUGAGGGAUCAUAUUUGUAGAUGAGACUUGUUAAAGUCAGCAGUGAGGCUUUGGCGCUUUUAACGAGUAAGUCCCAACACUGACAACAACGUACAGAAACUAGGACCAACAUGCAUAAACAGACCGAUCGGUCCCGCCUACUUACAUUGUUGGCCUUUUUUAAAUACGCAGUAAUCGUUGCUUGCCUUUUUCGCUUCAUCCUGCAUCCUAGCAGCAACCACUUUGGCGCCUCUGGAGUCGGUGUUUGUCUACGUCAUGCUGCAUUCAAUGUAAUUGGAAAAAGGAGCUUCAAGCGCUUAACCUCCGAUUUUGUUUUCUUUCUGGCCUUAGUUGGGUGGGACAGAUCGGGGUCGAUCUGAAUCUGGGGGGGACAGAUCCCCCCGUCCCCCACCCUAUCUGCGCACCUGGGUACAUACCUAUGGUUGGUGCUACUGAUGUCCUGAUUUUCCCCCAGGCUCUUCCAUAUCAGAGCAGGGCUGUACAGUGCGACGAAAAAAACUGUGUGUGUCUGUCUAUUUUUAAACGUAGCACUGGUGCAACAUCUUUGAAUUAUUAUUUUUCCCAGAACUUUAUUGAACAAAAGUAUGUGACGUGUAAGAAAAAUGCUUUUUACUGGCGCACAGUGUGGUCUAUCUGGAUGCAGUGGAGGAAAAUAAAGGAACCAGCAAAGGCACAAAGGCAGAACCGGUCCAAUGUGUGGGAUCAAAAGUGCAGCUUUUGGCUAAUGCUAAAGCUAACGGGUAGCAGUCUCACGAUCAAGUGGUGCACAGAAAAAUAUAUGAUGAUCGUAAAACUAAGACAGAAUAAACUCUACAAGUGGCUGAAAAGUCCCCCCCCACCAUCCUGUUUAUUCUGCAUCCUGCAGUGCUAUGGAUCAGAACCGCUGCAGAUACGAGUCACAUUACUGCUACAAGUCUGCUCCACACGCAGGAAGUGCGGCAAACCGUUGUAGUAUAUAAUUCACAAAUGCUCUAUCUUUGAACAUAAUAUAAACUGGAUUAUUGCCAACCCGUACAUAAUAGACAUGCCACUGUAGUGAACCUGAUUAGGCUCUGCCAAUUAUGUAGAGUAAUGGUUUAUGCUCUUUUAUGAAAGGUGGCUCCGUUCCCCCGUUAACGGUUGUUCACACGUCCUCCCUCUUUCGUUGUCAAACACCGAACUGAAUCAUGAACUGAAACUUACCAAAAGCCUUUCUCUUCUCAAAGCAAAACUUGUGCGUCAGAGCAGAUGUGUUUUGGAGUUUACUGUGAGAGAGUGUGUGUGUGUGAAGGUCAUUAUAACAUCUUCAAACAUUAUUUAAUUACGCAUUGACUCAUUAGUUAUUAUGAUUACCCAAAGCAUAAUAAUCAUUCAUUUGAUUAACACAUUUAUAAUGAGCAAAGUGAUAAUAAUGAUUCUUUACCAACUUAAAAUAAAGGAAAGGAAGUUUAAGACUUUGUUAUGUUAUGACUAGCUUUUCCAUGAGAACAACAUCUUCUGGCACUGCAGGUGUUCAGAUGUUAUGGUUUCUCCCAGACUCGCUGGCGUUCAGGUCUUAAUCUGUGGGUGAAAGUUCUCAGCGACCCAGCUCUUGACCCAGCCAGGCAAAGUAUAACCUUUGGCACAGAAAACCCAUAUUUCCUCACGUUACACCACCAUUACAUUGUUAGUAGCAGAAAUUAAAUGUUAUUACCAUUUCUAAUACAAAUGCAUGUUAAUGAAAUGCAUUAUAUUUUACUGGAUAUAUGUUAUUUUGACUAAGAUGAGUGUUAUUAAUACAAACCUAAAAUGUUACUGAAACGUAGGUCAAAUAUUAAAAAAACAUUUAAAACUAUAAAUAUCAGAUGGGAAAAGGAAACUAAACACCAUUCUAAUGUAUAUUAUUGAGCCUUUUAUAAUAAGAGUCUGUUUUUUCAGCCUGAUCAUUUUGUUGUUUUAUUUCAUAUUUUUUAGCAGCAAAUGAUAAAUAAAUGAUAAAGGACCCCCACUUGUAUAGCGCCUUUCAGAGUAAGGACUCCAAAGCGCUUUACACUACAGUGUAUCAUUCAUCCAUUCACACACACAUUCACAAACCAGUUUUGUUUCACUUGAAACAUUGUCAGAUGGGAUAUUCAAUUAAUCAACAGAAGCUUAGAUUAGAACACUUAACGAAAAAACAUUUUGCCUUUAAAAAAAUGAGGCAGUUGAAUGCACAGAGUACGCAUGUGCUGGCGCAUGGUCAGGAUGGUACCACCUCCGCCUCACUUUGAGCCAGGAAAAACCUGAUUAUGUUUUUAAAAUUUCUCAAAAAACCUGAGCAGUAAUAACAGCAAGCCUCACUCCGCCUCAUGAGUGUAAAUUGAGGGUUUUUGCUAAAAUUUCGAGACAUUUUAUAAACUCCUUCGCAAAUACCGUUCAGUCUCCUGCAUCCACUGUCCAGUGAGAUUAUCAGUUUAAUCUUAGCAAAAUGGACAGGUUCCUGUUACAAACUUAAAGCAUUGUACACUUUAUUAUUUUCUGUUCUGAAAUCAGCAAAAAAUGACUUAAUAUUUACAAAUGUAGCUGUUUUAGGAUUUGAUCAUUUGUUUUUGCAACACUCCUUUAAGGACAGACUCUAAAUAACAUUUGAAGUCUAGAUUUGAUUUGAUUCAUUUUUUUUAAUUAUCUGCAAAUGUUUUUCAGAACGUUGUUAAGAGCUCUGUUUUUAAAUUUUCAAACUUUCAGGAUGAAAACCUUUUUUGAGAGAAAAUGUCUGACUUAUUUUGAUCUGAUGAUGCUUUCCUCAUCCUACAGGACAUGACCACCAUUGAGAAAAUGUCUCAGUUCUCAAAUGAAGUAUACGGAGCCAAAAGAUCGUGGCAGUGGGCGCUAGCGGAAGUCUGCGGCACCAGAUGGAAGCUUCUGUGGUUCAUCCCGUUACGCAGCAGACAGCCGCUCCAGGCCGGCCACCACCUCCGCUCCCACGUGUAGCGUCGCAACACUCUUGUCCCUGCACAGACGGUAGAAGCUGCUACUACUAAACACUCCACACACAUCUGUUUGCCUUCACCGUCUUAAUCGUAGGAUGAGAUGUCUCUCAGCAGCAGUUUUUCUUGUUUUAUAUAUAUUUAUAUUUAUCCCUGACUGGCAUCAAACAGGGUCACGAAACACCUUUUGUGGACAGAUGAAAAAAACGUCUCACUGUGAUUGCUGCUGUCAGCGUUUAGAAACCAUUUUAAAUUAAUCAUCGGGAUGGAAGUCUGAACACGAGGGACCCCUCUCAGGUUGCUGUCAUAAGGAGCCUUCGUCACUACUACCAAUCGCUGGAACUUCAGCACGUCUAUUAUAAAGGUUUCAUGUUCGGUACGAAGUCGGUGCUUUAUGUUUGAUUAUUUUCGCGCUUUUUAUUUGUCAUGUGUAAGGAAAGGUCUUUAAUGAUGUACUCUUGUGGUUAAAUGAUUCCCAAAUGUUUCCUUCCUUUUACCUAUGAAGAUUUUAUCUAUGAAGAGUUGCUCUUUGAAGCAGAGAACAUUUAGUUCUGGGAUUUAGUUUUUCAGACAAGGGCAUAGCGCCAACAAGCUGAUCGAGUCGCUCAAAUCUCCAACAUGUCACUGUUUAAGUUUAAUAAUCCACAGCAGCGGCUUAAAGAUGACUUCAGUAAGGCUGAUUAUCCGUAAAAAGCAUUUUCCCCAGUGAGCUGUUUGAUCAUUUUGCAGUUUAGCAGUAAGCUAGUCAGGAGCGGGCUGUUCCACCCUGAUCCCGCAUAAACACAAGAACGACGAUAAUUCACACAAUGAGCUAAACAACAGACAGCUAAUAAAUGUAUUACCCAUAAAGUGGACCCGUUCUUUUAAUUCAGCCGGCUGUAUCAACCUCAGCACUUACCGCACAGAGCUUGUGUACAAAGGUUUGGAGUUUAUACCUACCACUUUAUUUUUGAUCGUCAUUUCAGCAACUGUUAUUGUAAAUCUCUUGUCACAAUGUUUGACUUUAUGAAUGCGUAUUAUUAUCAGCUUAGUCUGUGGAACUGAGCAGCUAACUCGGAGACGAAGGGGAUAAGUAUGUUCAGAAACAGCAGAGUAAUCUCUGGCAGAUGUCUGACUUGUGAAAACGUUAGCGAUGUUUCUUGUUUACCAAUUCCACUUUCUGAUUUUUGUACAUUCUGACAAUAUCAGACAUUGCCAAUUCUGAUUUGACAUUUUUAUAUUUUUUUGUUAACACUUUACAAUAAGGGUCCCUUUAUUAAAGUUACUCAGUGCAUUACUAAGCAUUAAUAAACCAUGGGUCCCUUUAUUAACAUUACCAGUAUUGUUGACUGUUAUUGGCGCUUACACAUUAGGGUCAGUACAGUCGGGGGAGGAUAGCGUUAGUUUGAUUUUGAACCGGCAGUGUAGUGUUCACAUGUUCCAAAGGACUUCUCAGAAACGCAGAAAUCCCCGAGCCCCUGGGCGGCGUUUAAGACGCGUUGGAAAGUCCGCGGUGUCCUCCAUAAUAAGGUCAACAAAGACGGGCAUGGGCUGUGUUGCUUUUGGAGACUCUGAUCCACAUUAGUUUAAUAAUGUGCUGUGUGUGUCCUCAUAGAACUCUGUCCAACACCGUUGUAGGACACACACACACACACACACACACACACACACACACACACACACACACACACACACACACACACACACACACA